UACAGAGGGUGCAAGCGUUGUUCGGAAUUAUUGGGCGUAAAGCGCGUGUAGGCGGCUUUGCAAGUCGGGUGUGAAAGCCCUCGGCUCAACCGAGGAAGUGCGCCCGAAACUGCAGAGCUUGAGUACCGGAGAGGAUGGCGGAAUUCCCCAAGUAGAGGUGAAAUUCGUAGAUAUGGGGAGGAACACCGGUGGCGAAGGCGGCCAUCUGGACGGAUACUGACGCUGAGACGCGAAAGCGUGGGUAGCAAACAGGA
rnacentral:rRNA from 1 species